CCUGUGGAGUGUUAUAUCAAAUUGUAUUAGAUUAUCCGCAAGGAUUUUCGAGGCGAGACACAGCGAAGCAGGAA
rnacentral:sRNA from 12 species